GACGAACGCUGGCGGCGUGCUUAACACAUGCAAGUCGAACGGAAAGGCCCUGCUUUUGUGGGGUGCUCGAGUGGCGAACGGGUGAGUAACACGUGAGUAACCUGCUCUUGACUUUGGGAUAACUUCAGGAAACUGGGGCUAAUACCGUAUAGGAGCUCCUGCUGCAUGGUGGGGGUUGGAAAUUUUCGGCGGUUGGGGAUGGACUCGCGGCUGAUCAGCUUGUUGGUUGGGUAGUGGCUUACCAAGGCUUUGACGGGUAGCCGGCCUGAGAGGGUGACCGGCCACCUUGGGACUGAGAUACGGCGCAGACUCCUACGGGAGGCAGCAGUGGGGAAUAUUGCACAAUGGGCGGAAGCCUGAUGCAGAAACGCCGCGUGCGGGAUGACGGCCUUCGGGUUGUAAACCGCUUUCGCCUGUGACGAAGCGUGAGUGACGGUAAUGGGUAAAGAAGCACCGGCUAACUACGUG
rnacentral:rRNA from 1 species